rnacentral:rRNA from 1 species
UACGUAGGGUCCGAGCGUUGUCCGGAGUACUGGGCGUAAAGCGCGCGCAGGCGGCGGUGCUGGCCCGGCGUGAAAGCCCCGGGCUUAACCUGGGAACUGCGUUUGAAACUGGGAGACUUGAGUGUGGCAGGAGGGGGGUGGAAUUCCGACGUGUAGCAGUGAAAUGCGUAGAUAUGUGGAGGAACACCGAUGGCGAAGGCAGCCCCCUGGGUUAACACUGACGCUCAUGCACGAAAGCGUGGGGAGCAAACAGG